rnacentral:rRNA from 1 species
CUGCAGCCCGAGUGGUGAUCAUUAUUAUUGAGCCUAAAGCGUCCGUAGCCGGACUAGUGAACCCUUGGGUAAAUUGGGCAGCUUAACUGUCCGAAUUCCGAGGGGACUGCUAGUCUUGGGACCGGGAGAGGUCAGAGGUACUCAAGGGGUAGGGGCUAAAUCCUGUAAUCCUUUGGGGACCACCAGUGGCGAAGGCGUCUGACUAGAACGGAUCCGACGGUAAGGGACGAAACCCUGGGGCGCGAACCGGAUUAGAUACCCGAGUAGUCC